rnacentral:rRNA from 1 species
CUUGGUGGUGUUAGCUCAGUGGGUACACCUCUUCCCAUCCCGAACAGAGUAGUUAAGCACUGAAACGCCGAUGGUACUGCUAGGGUGACCUUGUGGGAGAGUAGGUAACUGCCAAGC